rnacentral:rRNA from 1 species
GAUGAACGCUGGCGGCGUGCCUAAUACAUGCAAGUCGAGCGAACGGACGAGAAGCUUGCUUCUCUGAUGUUAGCGGCGGACGGGUGAGUAACACGUGGAUAACCUACCUAUAAGACUGGGAUUACUUCGGGAAACCGGAGCUAAUACCGGAUAAUAUUUUGAACCGCAUGGUUCAAAAGUGAAAGACGGUCUUGCUGUCACUUAUAGAUGGAUCCGCGCUGCAUUAGCUAGUUGGUAAGGUAACGGCUUACCAAGGCAACGAUGCAUAGCCGACCUGAGAGGGUGAUCGGCCACACUGGAACUGAGACACGGUCCAGACUCCUACGGGAGGCAGCAGUAGGGAAUCUUCCGCAAUGGGCGAAAGCCUGACGGAGCAACGCCGCGUGAGUGAUGAAGGUCUUCGGAUCGUAAAACUCUGUUAUUAGGGAAGAACAUAUGUGUAAGUAACUGUGCACAUCUUGACGGUACCUAAUCAGAAAGCCACGGCUAACUACGUG